rnacentral:rRNA from 1 species
GACGAACGCUGGCGGCGUGCUUAACACAUGCAAGUCGAACGGAAAGGCCCUGCUUGCAGGGUACUCGAGUGGCGAACGGGUGAGUAACACGUGGGUGAUCUGCCCUGCACUUCGGGAUAAGCCUGGGAAACUGGGUCUAAUACCGGAUAGGAGCCAUUUUUAGUGUGAUGGUUGGAAAGUUUUUUCGGUGUUGGAUGAGCUCGCGGCCUAUCAGCUUGUUGGUGGGGUAAUGGCCUACCAAGGCGGCGACGGGUAGCCGGCCUGAGAGGGUGGACGGCCACCUUGGGACUGAGAUACGGCCCAGACUCCUACGGGAGGCAGCAGUGGGGAAUAUUGCACAAUGGGCGCAAGCCUGAUGCAGCGACGCCGCGUGGGGGAUGACGGCCUUCGGGUUGUAAACUCCUUUCGCUAGGGACGAAGCUUUUUGUGACGGUACCUAGAUAAGAAGCACCGGCUAACUACGUG